UACGAAGGGGGCUAGCGUUGCUCGGAAUCACUGGGCGUAAAGGGUGCGUAGGCGGGUUUUUAAGUCAGGGGUGAAAUCCUGGAGCUCAACUCCAGAACUGCCUUUGAUACUGAGGAUCUUGAGUCCGGGAGAGGUGAGUGGAACUGCGAGUGUAGAGGUGAAAUUCGUAGAUAUCGGGAGGAACACCAGUGGCGAAGGCGGCGACCUGGGCCAAUAUUGACGCUGAGGUGCGAAAGCGUGGGGAGCAAACAGG
rnacentral:rRNA from 1 species